UACAGAGGUCCCAAGCGUUGUUCGGAUUCAUUGGGCGUAAAGGGUGCGUAGGCGGCAGGGUAAGUUGGAUGUGAAAUCCUGGGGCUUAACCUCAGAAUUGCAUUCAAUACUGCCUUGCUAGAGAGCUGUAGAGGAGACUGGAAUUUACGGUGUAGCAGUGAAAUGCGUAGAUAUCGUAAGGAACGCCAGUGGCGAAAGCGAGUCUCUGGGCAGCAUCUGACGCUGAGGCACGAAGGCCAGGGGGAGCAAAACGGGG
rnacentral:rRNA from 1 species